AUUUAUUUUUCAAAUUGACAUGAAUCACAAAUUUUAUUCUUUUCAAAUUUUAUCUUUGGUAAGUCUUUUACAAAGUUUCUUUUUAUAAGUUUUGAAAUCAAAUCAAUACUAGCAUGUUCUAAUAUAUGUUGCCACAACCAACUAGUCUCAUUAAUUUUAGUAUCAAUUGCAAGUACAUAUUCACCAUUCUUCAUAAAGAGAUCAUCUAAAUUAAUUAUAUAGUUAUUGCCAUGUC
rnacentral:lncRNA from 1 species